CAAGUACUCCCUCUGUUCGGAAUUACUUGUCGCAGAAAUGGAUGUAUCUAGAUGUAUUUUAGUUCUAUAUACAUCCAUUUCCGAGACAAGAAAUUCCGAACGGAGGGAGUAUUAA
rfam:Triticum aestivum genome assembly, contig: Triticum_aestivum_CS42_TGACv1_scaffold_406948_5BL